CGUUUAUUGGAGCAGAUCAAGUGUUUGUUGAGAAGUUUAUUUAAAAAUAUAGCAUUAAAUGUGACUGAUAUUAGUGAUGGCUACGGUUAUGAUUCUGACCAAGACAAGGAAUAUACAUUACCUGAAAAAUCAAAAAAGAAAAAAGAAUGCAGAAUUAAAAUUCGUGGUCGUUAUAUUAACAUUCCAACCCAAUCCAGUAGCAGUGAAAGCGAAUGUGAAGAGUCAGACUUAGAAAGCCAUUUAACUAGAAACAAUCCUGGCUGCUCUACUAGCUCGUAUAAGGCUUCUAAUUCUGCAAUGCAAUUUAAAGUAAACAGCAAAACUGAGAUUAAAAAAUCUUCUCAUCCGUCUUCUGUUCAGCUGCAAACAAAUUUUAAUAGAAAUAUUUCCGGUUGUUCCACUACGUUAACGCUAAACACCUCAAAACAAAAAGUGCCCUUAGUAAAAGAUGAUAAUAUUGAAGACCCUGAAACAGAGUAUUAUAAUUCUCAUAACACAGCAACCUCACAUGAUACUACGGAUUCUAAAGAAGAUAAUUUGAUAAAUGAGACAAACAAAAAGUUAACACACAAAAGACAAAAAAAUACAUCCGAAUGGGCAUGCAAUAUAAGAAAAACUAAAUUUGAUCGGGGCCUUGAAUAUAUUUCCUCGCGAAAAAAGGUCGUUCCCGCCAGGGAGAUUAAAAACAAAAAAGAUUGUUUACAAAAAUGCUUAUUUAAAUGCUCUCGAAUAAUAAGCGAUGAAUAACGAAAGGAGAUUUAAAAAUUAUUGUCUGCUUUCAGCUGUUGAAAAAAAGAACUAUAUUUUAAACACUACUAAAGUUGAUAGUCCCUGGCGGAGAAGAAAAGGAAAAAAGCCUGAUAAUUCAAGAAAAAAGAGAACCUUUAGAUAUUAUUUUGAGGUAAAUGGUCAACCAAUUCAAGUUUGCAAAGAGUUUUAUACAGGAACUUUAUGUAUAAGUCAGAAACCAAUUUAUACAGCUCACAAAAAUAAAACGGUGACUAACACAUUGACUAAAAGUAUACAGGGAAAACAUCAGAAAAGGGUAACGUCACCUGAAGCUAUAGAUUUUGUUAAAGAGCACAUAAACUUGGUUCCUCGUGUGGAAUCACAUUAUUGUCGCAAGAACAGUAACAAAGAAUAUGUCGAAAGUGGAUUAAGCAUUAAAAAAUUAUAUGAACUUUAUGUGGAUUUGGCAAAAGAACGCGAAAAAGCUCCAGUUUCAUUUUCUGUUUAUAGGAAAACAUUCUGCAAUAAUUUUAACAUUGCUUUUCAUAAGCCACGCAAAGACAGAUGUGAUACGUGCGAGGAAAUAAAACUAAAAGAAAUAGAAAAUAAGAUGGAUGACAGUUUGGAAAAAAAAUAUGCUGAUCAUUUAAAUGAAAAAGAGUACAUGAGAAACGAAAAACAAAAAGACAAGGAUAGUGAAAUCCCAAUACUGUGCUUUGAUCUAGAAAACGUUUUAACAUGCCCAAAAGCUGACAUAAAAAACUUUUUUAUAAAAGUAAACUAAAUGUUUACAAUAUGACUGGACACCUCUCCAUAAGCAAAAAAGUAUACUGUGCUGUGUGGAGCGAAGCUUUACAUGGAAGAAAGGGAAACGACAUUGCAAGUGCGGUUUACAAAAUACUUGAUAAAGUUAUGCAGGACAAUCCAGAAUUUACAGAAAUUAUUUUGUGGAGCGACAGCUGCGUUCCGCAAAAUAGAAAUAGUCUCAUGAGUUAUGGCCUUAGUCACCUAAUUUAAAAACACAACAACCUAUCAAAAAUCACAAUGAAAUUUUCUGUUCCUGGUCAUGCUUGUAUCCAAGAAGUAGAUGCAAUCCACAGCUCAAUCUAAAGAUCAUUAAAUAAGGUAGAAUACUAUUCUCCUUUAUCUCUUUUACGAUACCUUUUAAAAGUAAACCUCCAUAAUCCAUAUACAAUUAUCCAAAUGAAACAAGAAGAUUUUAUAGACUUUUUCAAGCCAACUCAACUACAAUGCUGUGCCAUUUUCAAAAGUAGUUUCUUUGCAGUUUUCUAGAUCGUUUUUCGAACUCAAGUAUAAAGAUACCUUUAACCCCACAGAAAAAUUUAAAUCUCUAAAUUUACAUCAAGGAAAAUUGAGAAAGGGGCAUGUUACAGCUGAAACGGAACAACUAAUUAUUCCACUGGAAUUAAAAAGAUGCGAUAAAGCUAUUCCCCUUGCAUCAAGUAAAGUGGAGGCAAUAAAGUCUAUGUAUAAAUGGAUUCCCGAAAUGGACAGGCAAUACUAUGAAAGUAUUUUUAGCCGUAAAUAAAAGUUAUAUGCUUUGCUGUGUAUGUUAAAUUAAAUACUAGUUUUGUGUUACAAAAUUCUAUGUUACAUUUGGAAAAAAGAAAAUUUAUUUUUGAUAUAACGGAAUCCUAUGUUUUUUUUCAAUAAAUUAU
rnacentral:lncRNA from 1 species